rnacentral:rRNA from 1 species
CGAGACCUUCGGGUCUAGUGGCGCACGGGUGCGUAACGCGUGGGAAUCUGCCCUUAGGUACGGAAUAACUCAGAGAAAUUUGUGCUAAUACCGUAUGAUGUCGAAAGACCAAAGAUUUAUCGCCUAAGGAUGAGCCCGCGUAAGAUUAGCUUGUUGGUGAGGUAAAAGCUCACCAAGGCGACGAUCUUUAGCUGGUCUGAGAGGAUGAUCAGCCACACUGGGACUGAGACACGGCCCAGACUCCUACGGGAGGCAGCAGUGGGGAAUAUUGGACAAUGGGCGAAAGCCUGAUCCAGCAAUGCCGCGUGAGUAUGAAGGCCUUAGGGUUGUAAAGCUCUUUUACCAGGGAUGAUAAUGACAGUACCUGGAGAAUAAGCUCCGGCUAACUCCGUGCCAGCAGCCGCGGUAAUACGGAGGGAGCUAGCGUUGUUCGGAAUUACUGGGCGUAAAGAGUACGUAGGCGGUGAUUCAAGUCAGAGGUGAAAGCCUGGAGCUCAACUC